GGGGUUGUAGCUCAGUGGUAGAGCACUUGCCUGGCAUGUGUGAAGCACAAGGUUCGAUUCUCAGCACCA
rnacentral:tRNA from 1 species